UAUCUAAAAGAAACUAAUGAAAUUAUGAUUAAAAAUUUAUUAAUAUUUUAAAAAAGAUGUAGAAAAUUUUGAAAAUAUUAGUAAUAAAAAUUGUAUAAUUAUAAAAAUACUAUUAAAUAAUGUAUUUCGAAAUUUAUAAUGCAUAUUUCAAUAUAUUUAUUUUAGUGAUGAUUUAUGAAUUAUUACCAUAUUUUAAGAAGUUUACCAAAAAUAUAAAUCAACAUUAAAUGCAAUGUAUUAGUUAUUGUCAUAUCCUAUAAAAUUUACCAAAAAUAUAUGUCAGUAAUAAAUGUGAUUGUCCAUGUCAUAUUAACUAUAAACCAUGUCAUCAAUCUUGUUAAUCAUGUCAUCAUUGUUUUUGUAAAAAUGAUUGUACAGAGAACAUGUAAAAUCUCUCUCUCUCUCUCUCUCUCUCUCUCUCUCUCUCUCUCUCUCUCUCUCUCUCUCUCUCUCUCUCUCUCUCUCUCUCUCUCUCUCUCUCUCUCUCUCCCCCCCCCCGUCAAACCACAAGCAAAUCACUCUUUCUUUUCCACAUAGAGAUAAAUUACCAAACACUAAAUAAUCAAUUUUUGAAAUGGGAAUCCUCUCUGUUAAAUUUUUUUAUCAUCUUUAGAUUCAUUACCACAAAUUCACACAUUCACCUUUCAAAUUUCUCUCGCUCGAACUUGAGGUUAUUACACGACGGUGAGUAGACUCGUAGAAGCUGGAAAGCAUGGCCUUAUUUAACAAAGAGCUCCUUAACUCUUCACGCUUCAACAAAAGGUUUCUUUCUAACCAUCAUUAUUUACCGCCGCCACAUUACCAUCACGUUACCGUCGUCAAGUACCAUCUCGGGCAGAUCAGUUCCAAAGAUGAGAGUCUAUUAAGGAUGAGUACCGACUGUUAGUUGUUACUAUGAUUCCUGGAAAGAUCUUUCACUUUUCUUUAUGAUGUAGCUUGUAAAAUAACCAGUUAAGAUUUUACUUGAUUUUUAUAUUGUUAUAGUUAGCCGGUAAUGUAUUCUAACUAUCUAGAUAUCAUUAUUCUUUGUUAGUAUUUUUAAUCAAUGGUUGGUUAACACUAUAGUUAUCCGAUUAUGCAUGUUUUCUCGAUUAUAAUUAUCCGGCUAAGAAAUUAGUAUUGUUAUAUUCUGAUUUAUCCGGAUACUUUACAUUUUAGGUGGCAUAUAAUAUUAUAUUUACUGGCUAUUUGAUCAGUUGAUGGUUUGUAUCAAUUCAGAUAAACAAAAAAAAUGAACUCUCUAGUAAAUCACAAAACAUAUGAUUAGAUUUACAUGUUCGGCUAAACAUAAAAUAAACUCAUUAACAAAUCACAAUACAUAUGAUUAAAAUGGUUGUUUACCCGGUUAAGAUUUUACUUGACUCCUUUGUUAUACUUAGCUGGUAAUAUAUAUUAAUUAUCUAGACAUUGUUAUAGUUAGCCGAUAAUAUAUACUAAUUAACGGAGGGUUAACACUGCAAACCCAAAACAAAAGAUAUAUUGAGUAAUUAGUGUUGUGGCCAAUUUGAAAGCCAUCUAGAAAUGAGGUACAAUUGUGCAAAUACAAGAAGAGCUAGAUUGCACAAUUGAAAGAUUUGGGGGUUGAUUCACGAGGAUGUUUUUGUAAAUCUAAAACAUUUGGGGUCAAAUUGAAAAGAACCAUAAUUUCAGGUACUUAUUGUGCAAAAACAUAUAAAGUCACCAUUGGAGAGAUCAACCUUUCUCUUCGCCGAACUAGAUGGCGACGGCAAGGAUGAACACAACGGCAAGGCUUGAUUAUGAGCAUGGCGACGUUGUUAGAGCAAGGCGACUGAAGAUCCACUGACAGAGGAGUAAGCCAUGUGAAUCUCGCGACGAUAUCGAACUCGACGUAAACAGAGGUGAAUGGUGAAGCACGACCGUGAAAGGAAUAAACUUGACGUGGCGAUCUACAUUUAGACGCGAUGGUGGACAUAAUAAGUCAAAGCUCAUGUUCAUGGCGAGUGGGAGGCAGUUGCAGAUGAUGACAAGUGAAGCUUAACAAGAAGAGACACUCGACUCCGGUGAGAGUGAACUAGACAAUUCAGUGGAAAUCUUGCGAGAAGAGAGAGAAGGUACCGAUGGAUUAAACGAAGAAAAUGUGGAAGUAGAGAGAAGAACAGUUUUGAUUUUGAAACAAUACGUGUAUCGAUUAUUGUGCUAUCUACUGACAAACCUUUUCACGCGUGAUAUAACAAGAGUAUACCAAUAUAGAGAGUUCGUAAAUGGGUGACAAUUUUAGUGUAACAUACGAGAUAUAGGGGCAAAAGGGCCAUUAAAAAAGACACAUAAGCGAGAAAUGACAACUUCUAUCUGUGCAAAUUAUGCACUUAUGCUUGUAUAUACACUGCAAUUUCCCUUAAUUAAUUAGGUAUAUAGUCAGAUUUUUUUGUUAAAAAAAAAUUAACCAUGUAAUAACUGAUAUGUGUGGAAGCCUCCUUGGUUCAGUGGUUUGACCAAGGGUUCACUAAUACUUCUACACCAUGAGGUAUGGGUUUCAAUUCACGGGAAGGCAGAAUUAUGUGAAUUAAUGGACAAACGGUUUACAAGAGAUCUGCAGCAAGGCGCAAGGAGUACCGCAAUCAUGGAUCCGAUAGAACGACUCAGGUGAUGCAGUUAUGCGUAAAUUCUCAUAAAACAUAUAGAAAUAUCGGUUGUAAAUAGGGUCUCAGAUCAAUAAGCACAUAAGCAUCUUAUUUCUCAGAUUCGACCAGAAGAGGAAGUAGAAAAUAAGCCCAAAGGGUAAAGUCAGAAAGGCAAAACAUUUAGUAUGAUAUUGGUCUCACUCACUCACCAUUCUUUUUUUUUUAUUAUAAUUCAGUGAACAAUGUGUUAAGAUUGCUGAGAAAAGACAUGUUAAACCUGCAAACUAUUUGGAUUCGCAUCAGAAGAUUCUUAUAGGUGUUGCUACUAAAGGAGGUAUGUUUUCCUCAGUGCUGAAUAAAGACAUGUUAAACCUGCAAACUAUUUGGAUUCGCAUCAGAAGAUUCUUAUAGGUGUUGCCAUUAAAGGAGGUAUGUUUUCCUCAGUGUUGAAUUCAGGUCAGCUAUAUCUCUUUCAGAUGGUUUGUGUUUUUAAUUUAUAAUCUGACUCAGUUUCUUCAACCAAGUCCUGAAACCACAGUUGCCAAGCUUAUUAAAACGUUAUAUUUGUUUAUCUUUAUCAUUCCAGUGGCCAAGUGUCACACAAUGUUGUACGAUAUAAGUAAAAUAGAAACCGGUUAAGAGAAGACGAUGGCACUAAAGAUGAAGAAAACGAGGAUGAUGAUUGUGACGAAGGUGCCGACACGAAGAAGGUAUAAAUACACGGUAAUGGUUACACUUUCAAUAUAUCCUAAUUAAGUCUUAUGAAUUUUAAUGUACAAAACGAGCCAGAGACAAGCAGAGGAGAGGCUAGAGAGAUUUGUAGUGCUGGACCAAACCAUGUUCAGGUCUAAGCAAGCUCAAGAGGAGGAUGAAGCUCGGGUAAUGAAGUAAUCAUUCGGAACAAUUAAGAAAGAUAUCUUUUUGUAACCUUGGAUUAUAUUCAGCUAUGGAGGAGUUCCUUAAUCCGUACAAGUGCGAAAUGUUUAUAUACAUUGGUUAUAUUGUAGAGUUGUUGUGAAGGAAAUAAUAGAAGAUUUUAAGUACAUCACAAAACCGAGAAAGAUUUCUCAUACUAUCAUGAGAGAAGAAUCAAACCUUUCAUAUUGUGUUUGCUGAUUGUUAUAAUUCUAUCACGGAUUGUUCUUUGGACCUCCAGUUACUCCUUUUGUCAACUCAUUAAGCUUAAGGAACAAAACACCACAUAACCUCCAAAGCUGCUUAGACCAGUGGGAUAAUGAAAAGUUCUUCGCUUAGAACAAUUGGAAGGCAUGGGAUGCUUUUCUUAAAGCCGACUGAGAGAAACUGGGUAAUUAUAGAGACUACUCAUGCUGCUGCUUUUGCUGAGAAGUUACUGUUGCCUAUAUCUCAGCUGAGCCCAUAAUCUUAUUUUGAAAUAAGAGUCGAUAAGGAGCUCACAUUCAUAUUAUUUCCAGCCCUAAAUCAGCUUCUCAAGAUUCAAGACAAGUCGGUAGCCAGUCAUUAGGUUCUAUGCACAUUGUAAAAAAUGAAGAAAUACUAUAAAUAUGCAUUGUGAGUUAAGAUAGACAAGAUUAUGGGUUCUAUUUCUUAUUACCUCUGAUGAUGCUAAUGUCUUUGAUCGGUAAACAAUAGACAUUUGUGUCCUCAAAGCAUUAGAUGGAGAGACAAAGCUUUAAGUCUUAUCGCACUAUAGCAGGCACGGAACAGAGUUGCGUUAUAAUUACAAAGCCUAACUAACCUUUAUGGGGAUAACUACCGGGUGAUAAACGGGAAAUGAGUUUGAUUGUCAGAUUCACUGGGAAACUGGAAGUGUCUUUGUUAUUUUCUUAUUUUGAAAAAUGAACUGAAUAUCAUCAGACAAAUAUUUUCGGCCAUAUCCUAUUCCACUUUUUAAUUUUGACUUAUACAUUACAAAUUUAUACAUUGUAGAACUUGGUUGAGUUGCUCAGUUUGCAAUUCAUAUAUCUAUUGAUAAUUUGAUAUGUCUCAUCAAACGUAUGAUUGUUCAUAUACAUGGGAAAAUAAAAUUUCCCUAAUAAUAUUUUACUUGAAUUUGACUAAUUAAGAUUAUUUUAUGUUAAAAAUAACUUCUAAAAUUUAUUGUACAUCUUUUAAAUAUCAAAAGAUCAAAUAUAUGACACAUUUACAAUUAUAUAAUGCUAAAAGAAUGUCUGAAAUAUCUCCCCCUUACUUCAUCUGGAUCAACAAUAGAAUAACAUUUAAUGGAACAACAAGAUUCAAGAUAUUAUAUCACUAAUAGAAAAUAUGUUAAAUAAUUUCAUAACAUACAAUACCUCACAGACUCCCUUUGAAUUCAUAGUCGCAAAAACAAAUCAAGAAAUAAUGGAAUAUACCUUCUCAAUGCGAUUAGAUGAAAUCUAAAAAUAUAGUAGAAAUGCAAAAAUAAAACUAAACCAAAACUAAUCAAACGUUAAAGUCAAUAGAUUAAUAAGAAAACAAGAUUAAAUUCAAGGGAAAUCCAACACAUCUAAUUAUAUAAAAAAUUGUUUGGUUCCCUCCUGUGAUGCCACGUCGGAUCCAGGCUGGAAAGUCGAGUUUUGUGGUGCCAACACGUGUCCCCUCUAUCAAAGUGUCGCGUUUCAUUUAUUCGAGGGUGUAAUAGAUUUGGGCCUGGGUUUGUAAACUGGCUUUCCUUCGGCUUAGUGGACCCCAAAACCAAAUAAAGAGUAAUAUAUUGAAACACGACGUUUUUGAUAUACGGCUGAACCAGUUCUUCAUCCCGGCCGUACGAGAGCUAAACUCGAUCUAUGGUUUCGAAAGCGUUCCACUGAUCAUCGCUGAUUAGCUAUAUGAAGCACGAUUUCACAUUGAACGCGAGUUAUCCCUCUGAAAGGCGGUGUAUCUACCUAUAAAAAUAUUAGCUUUGCUCCAUUGAUCAUCGUUCUCUCAAUCCGUAAAAAAACCAAACAAUCUGAUCCAUGGUUGUAGGGUCUCAUCUCUCUAUCAUAUGCCGCAAGGUCCGGCGCAUCUGAGCUGAAGUUUGAAAUGAAGAAGAAAUUUAAGAGGCUGCAGUCGACAUCCACUUAUAAGCAUUCAGAGUAUACCCAAAUCUCAUCGCUUUCGGUUAACCGAGCUAACCAGUAUCGCCGAGUUACAAUUGACUUCGUCCAGCUAACGGAGCAACCGACGGAGCAAGCGGCGAGAGCGUUGGAGCAAGCGGUGGAGAGCGACGGAGCAAGCGGCUAGAGCGGCGGAGCAAGCGGCUAGAGAGGCGGAGCAAGCGGCGGGAGCGAUAGAGCAAGCGACGGGCAGAUCAAGAAACAGAGAGUGUGGAGAGAGAUAGAGAGAGAGAGAGAUAGAGAGAGAGAGAGAGAGAGAGAGAGAGAGAGAGAGAGAGAGAGAGAGAGAGAGAGAGAGAGAGAGAGAGAGAGAGAGAGAGAGAGAGAGAGAGAGAGAGAGAGAGAGAGAUCAAAAGCAAUUGAUACAGUUCAAGCUCUCACAUGGGAGGUCGAUAGGCUCUCGCACAUGGUGAGUUUAUAUGAGCUGCAAUCUUUUCUUAUUUGUUUUUGCACGAAAAAAGGAACGAAGAAUUGGUUUGAAUUGAUUUCUUUUUGCAAAAAUUAGGUUUGUGCUUUUGAAGUUUCUGUAAAUGGGGGAUGGAGGUUGCGGUGGAGGAGGCUGACAUGACUGCAUAGCGUCUCAUGAGGCUGUUGCUCAAACUUGAUGGCGUCAAAGCAGAAGGGAAAUCUAGAGUACAAUAAUAACGCAGACGUUAAUGUUUCAUCUCAUGCAUUCUUCAUUUGUCUGCAUCAACUAUGUUUACAAAAUAAAAAUGUCAACAACAAUGGUAAACAAUAUGAAUCAGGUAUUUACGAUUAAUGAGUUCUAGGCUUUCGGAUGAGUUGCAAUGAUAUGAUCAGUGACUUUGGUAGAUAUACAUUGAGAUUCUGUUAAGUGAUCAUUUGUUUGUAUGAAUUAGUGGAAUGGCUAAGACUGUUGAGAAAUAUAGAAAACAUAGUUAUGCAACAAUGGAUCCAAAUCUAUCAUCUAAAAACUUGCAUGUAUUUUCCUAUCUCUAUAUAUAGAUAUGAAUUGUCAAGGAUUAACCUCGGCUUUAAGAUUGUCCUUAAUUUAUUUCCUCUUAAGCGACUAGAGAAGUAUGAGGACUGCUUGAAGCUCAGAUCAAGAGUUGAGAUCCUACAACAUUCACAACGGUAAAUGAUUACUUCAACAGUUUAGUAAUCAUUUUUGGACAUAAAAACAUAGCGUGCAGUUUUACUUAUGCGUUCAAGUGGUGUGCAUAAGACCAUUCAUAAAGGCAUCAACCUUAGAGGUGACGAUGUAUAUUAAUUACUAAGGUUUUACUUAAGGUAUUGGCAUCAACCUUAGAACUUCUCAUUGUAUAUAAUUACUACUGUUUUUAUUUUUUUAAAUAUGUGUCUCUUGCAUGUACACCAUAGGCAUAUACCAAGAUAUGUGUAUACAUCUAGAAAGUCCUCUUCUGCAGCUGGGUUGAUUGCAACUGUUGCUAAAGAACAUGAAUGCUGAAUUUUGCAAUGAUAAAUGGUUCCUUGCAAUGAAACUUACAAGUAACCUAGAAUUUCUGACUAAUGUCAUCUAACUCUUUAACAGGCUGGUGCUUUAAUGUUUGCUGAUUAUGGAAUAUGUUGCAUUCACGAGUUUGACAAUAUGGAUAUCAAAAAUCAGGUUAGUGAUCAUCAGUUUCUUAUUAGUACGACUACAGAGUUUUCCUGUACUGUACUUUAAGAUUUAUGUUAGAUUUGGGGACAAAGGUUGCUAUUCGGUAAGCUAUGGAGUGGAGCAGCAAACAAUAAUCACUACGAAAGCUUGUAUACAAGCAACUUUCUAGCUCACUUGAUUACAACAAAUGUACCCAGCUAGAUAUUUAUGUGCUCUUGAUUGAUCACAGGAGAAAGAAUAGAUGCAGAUGCUUGUGUUCCAGCUUUUCACCACCACAGCUUUUGCGAGACAAAUAAAGAACACAUGUUCUAUAAGACAUAGCGGUCAGUCUCAAUGACAUUCAUAAAGCUUUGCUGUCACCUCUGGAAAGAUUCUUAAACAGAGACUAGACAUGUUGCUUAUGCAUGUCUGAAUCUGGAAACUCAGCUAGAGGGCAACGCAUCAGCAACACGAGCAAUCAACGUCAUCUUCACCAUCCGGGCUUAUUCCUUAUUCAUUAACAAACUCACUGAAAUUAUCAUAAAGUGAUCAAGUGCAUCAACAUUGGGUUGAUUUGAAUUCAAGUGCUUCGGACAGAGUAAAUAUGUCCACUUUCCAAAGAAUUAUAUGAAUCUAAAUGUAAGGGAGGCAACUGAGCUACGGAUUCAUACUCCGUUGUUUGAGAAUAUAUGGAGUGUUUAUUAUACUUCUGUUUUGUCCACAAAUAGUUUGUUCUACUGUAAUUAAAUUUUAACUAUUUUAAACAAUUUUUUUAUUUUUUUGAAAAUAGGCUUUGCUAUUGAAUAUUAGAAAUUUUACAAGAAGCUGGAAUAAAAUAUGUAUUAGUGUUUAAAAGUUAUCUUCUCUCAUAAAAAAUUUUCAAAUAAUAUCUAUAGUGAGUGACACAACUAAUAUAUUAACAUAAAGUAUAUAAGAAUAUAAAAACUACAUUACAUUUUGUGUCAAAUGUCAAAUUUAUUUACUACAAACAAACUAAACAAUUUGUGUUCAUGCUUUAAAGCAAGAGAACUCGAUUUUUUACUUAAAAAAAUAAAUUAGAAGUUUUUAAAAUUAUAACCAAUCAAUUUAGCAACAACAUUAUACUUAAAUUUAGUCUUCAGGUGGAACUUAAAGUAAACAAUCGUGAAUUUUUUGAAAAUCCCUUAUUUUCAAAAACCCAAUAAUGAUAAAAUUUAAUACACACAAUGACAUAUAAUAUUUCAUAUCAUCUAUCAAGUAUUAUAUGUAUUAAGAAAAAAUCAAAUAGUGUUAUCUUUUUAUUACCUAAUAAUUUCUAUCAAAAAUACAGAAUGCAACUAUUAAAAUCAAAAUUUACAUUAUAAAUUAGUUUAUAUGGAAUAUAUUUUACUGUAAACUUUUUUCAUAUGUCUUUGUGAUCAUUUGUAUUUUGUUAAAAAUAUUUAAUCAGAAAUCACACAAUUUCAAUGGAAAUUUAACAGUUUUUAAAGUAGUAAAAUAUAAUCAAGAAUAAACAUAAAUCAAUAAUUUACAGUGUAAUAUAAGCACAAAUAAAUUAUAUAUAUAUAUAGUAUAGUUUUAACCCAACAAAAAUUUGACUAAUUGUCACUUAUAUAUCAAGUUUUAUACUAGAAAUUUACUCUAGCUAUUUUAAUUAUUUUGAUAUAUAAUCCCGCCCGUAGGGCGGGCCGGUCCUAGUAAACUUAUAAAAAAAUCUUAUAUCACUUUGAUGUAAUUAAAAAUAAAUACCAGUUAAUUAAUAAAUAACUCAACUAUUACAUUUUAACAAUCAAUCACUAUUCAUAUUACUGAAAAUUUUCUUAAUGAUGUAAACAUAACAAACAACUAGACAAUAACCCGUGCAGCUGAACAUGUGUUUGUUUUUCUUUUUAUAUGCGUAAAAGUUUUUUCUACAUCGUUAAUGGUAAAUAUUCUUAACAUUAACCAUUUUUUCGAACGUUUAUAUUUUUGUGAAUAAAAUAAUGUUAUAGUCAACAUGUAUGGUAUUCUCUUUCCUUUACGUCUUCUAACAUUUUUGAAGAUAAUUUAAUAAUUUUUCAAGUCAUAUAUUUGUUUGAUCUUACUCCAUAAAACUUUGUAAUAUAUAUUUUAAAUUAUUUUUCACAAACAAAUAUGUAUAUCACAAAAUAAAGUUGUACAUUCUAUUCAUAAAGGUAGAUUGAAGAGUAAAUUAUGCAGUUAUAACAAAAAGUAAAAUUUUAAUUUUAAUAAAAUAUUAUGAUAUAAAUUUCAAUUACUCAUACUAAAACAAUAUAGGGUUGGAUCAUAAAUCUUUCUAAUUCUAAAAUUUUAGCACCCCUUAAAAUAAAUUUAAAAAAUUUAUAAUUAUAAUUUCUAUUAUAAAUUUUUUUAUCUGAGCUGUUAUUGUUUAUUCCUAGAGUUUGAUAUGUGACCGUCUAAAUAUUUGUUUUCACUUUUAAGAAAAUUUUACUAAAUGAUAUAAUAAUAUUUGUAAAUUAAAAUGUAUUAACUAAUUUUUUGUAUAACAUUUUAAAACAUAAAUGUUUAUUUAUUACUUUGAAUACUUAUAUUUUUGGUAUUUUAAUCACUUAUUAUAUCACAUUGUUUCAUAAAUUAUUGGUAUAAUGUUUUCUCAUAUAUAUAAGUCCAAUUAGUUAAUUGUACUUAUAUUUAUGAAAAUAUCAUACCAAUAAUUUAUGAAUAGAUUAUUUUAUAUUUUAUUUAUCUAUUAUAUAAAUUGAUUAUUACUAAUAAAUAUCGGAAAGCAUUUAAUACAUUAAUACAAAAUAUAUUAGGAAAUCUAUGGGAAAUUUUAUUUUGGUUAAGAUUAGAUUAAUGAAAACUAUAAUUUAAAUUAGGAAAAGACAAACAUACUUAAAUAUAGGUUCAAUUUCAUUGUAAAUAAGUGGUAAAACUAAAUGGUAAUCUAAUUUUGUACUCCUCUUUUAAUAGAUUAGAUAUAAAACUGAAAUAAACACCCAUGAAAAAGUAAAAUAAAUAAAAAUUUAGUUUCUUUUCUUAAAAUUUAAGUAUUGUAAUCUUAAGUUAAUAUACAAAUAGUAGGGUUUAAUAAUAAUUUCAUGAUUUAAACAAAAAAAACAUAUAAACCUAUGUUAAACUUUUAAACAGUGCAAUACAUUUUAAAAAUUCUCGAGUCUUCAAUGAAUUUUAUUAUAUAUACACUUAGGUUGGCUAGCUUUACAAAAACAAUUGACUUUUUUUUUAAAAUGUUAGAUUUAGUAUAAUAAUGCUAAAAAUGUAAGGAAAUUGCCACAAAUACCACAUUCAUAAUACCACUUUUCAUGUUUACAUUAAUCACUUUUGCAUUCACUUUUAAUGAAGGGUAAAAGAAACUUAUACCCAUGGGGUUAACUAUUCUAGACUUAAGGUUUAGAGUUGAGGAGUGCGGUAGGGUUUUUGAAAUGUGAAAUUUAGGAUUCUAAUAAAUAUAUAAAUAAAUACUUAAAAACUAUAUUUAAAUUUUUUUAAAAUAGUUUCAAACAUAAUUUUCGAUUGUCAAAAAGAAAUUUUGAAAAAAAAAUAAAAAAAAGUUCGAAAAAAGAUUAAAAAAAAGUAUAAAAAAGUUCGAACUUGAAAAAGUAUAAUUCGAAAACAUAAAAAAAUUAUUUUUAUUAUUUUUAUAUUUUAUUUAAAUAAUAACUUAUUAUAUAUAUAGAUAACAAGGGUAUAAAAGUCUUUUGCCAUUUAAUAAAGAAGAUAUUUUUGAAAAUGUCCCUUUAGUGGUGGUAAAUAAGAAAAGUGGUAUCAUGAAAGUGUUAAACAUAAAAUUUUCCCAAAUGUAUUAAAAUAUUGUUUUAGUAUAAUCAAAACUAGCAAAUUAUGAGCAAGUAUUGCAUUAUGGACAAAAUCAAUUCUUGAUCAAUGAUAAAAUCAUAUAUAGUUUGCUAAAUUUUCACAUUUGAAAGUCUCAAAUAUCCAUCACAAACACAACCUUAAAUCUUUCUCCUUUUCCCUACUCUCACUCGAAUACAAAUGACAAACCGAUAAACUAUUAACUUUCACAAAGCAAAAUUGGAGGCGAAGCCAAAUGCAAGUUUCUCAAAUGAUCCUUUAGCAGUCACAAUGAACUUGAACAAAGAACCCAGACAUAGCAAACAUAACAAAUCUUCUAUUCUUGAUCUCCUUAACCUUCAAUUUUGCAAAAGUCUUUGGGUCAUUUGGCAAGUCUAAUGGGCCAAAGCUGAUAUUUGGGUAUAGCAAAUCCUCCUCUUCUCCCAACAGCUCAUUUCAUACUAUAUAAAUUCAACCAACUUCCAACAAGAUUAUUUGAGUGGUUUGUUCCGAGUAUGAAGUUUUUAAGAAACAAAUCUGGUGAAUAUAUAAAAGUUUUAGGAUCUGAACUUGCGAUGUAUGAAUUAAAAAAAAAGGAGAUAAUAUUUUUACAUUUAUAUACUCAAAUUUAAGUUCAUUUAAAAUAUAGCUGAAAGCUCGGGUGUAGCCCGGAAAAAUCUCUAGUUCUUUUUAAUAAUUCUUAAUAACUCAACUGUAAAUUCAAAUAUUAAAUCUUAAAAUAAUCCAGUAGUAAAAUGAUAGGUACUUAUCAAAAUAAAAAUAUUUGUAUACAAUUACAUUAAAAUGAUACAAUAUAUAGCAUUCUAUACAUAAUCUACAUAAAUGUUAUUUUUUACCAAAAAAAUAUGUAUGAUGGAAUGAAAUAUUUUUUCUAACUUGAACUUCAUACAUGUGAGUUAUGCUCUAUUUCUUCAAAUUUGACAUGUAAAUUCUGCUCUAAUCCAUUGAAAUAGAAAAAAUUUGGUAUAUUUUUGGGUUAUUUUGUCUUUAUAUAUUAUAUAAAAAAUAUCAUUGCCAUUAGAAAAUAUGGUCAUUCAACUAAUUACAGGUUUUAUAGUUAUAUGGUCUAGUUUAUAUCCAAGAUAAGAAGAUUCAACAUGAAUAAUUUGUUGCAAACAAACAAUGAAUAGUGUUAAGCAAAAAAAAAGCAAUGAAUAGUGUUAGUUUUUUGGGAAAUUUGUAAAUAUAGAACAAAAAAACAACUACAUUGUCCCUAUACCAUAAAUUGAUCUAUACAUUGUCCAUAUAGUAUAAUCUUUUGUGUUAACCCAAUUAAGCCCUCCUAAUUUAUAAUCCAAUAAUUUUUUUUUUUUUUUGGUAAAAUUAUAAUCCAAUAAUUGAUAUAAUUAUAUAUAAAACACAACAAUUUAUAAAAUUAAAUAAAGGUAAAAACAAAAUAAAUACAUCUUCCCGAUGAACCCUAAGCCCUUUUUAUUACUGCAACUUUGAUCAUAUCUUUAGGUGCCAUUGAUCCCAAAGGAGAAGUCAACGGAGCUGAAAACCAAGAUCCUUAUUUUUCUGGCAAGUUUGGAACCCACGCGUCGCUCCCUCCGACUUAAAAAAAUUAAAUCUCCGUGCAUUGGUAAAGAAAGUAGCAAUAGAGAGGAGCACCCUGAAAAAGAAGAAACAAAGGCUAUAGGUUUGUAGAUGAUGUUAUUAACAUUUUUUCCUGGGUAAAAUCAUAUCUGAAACUUUAUUAUUGCUGCAGUUCCAUGUUGCUUUCUGUGUCUUUGCUGUGGUUGCUCCACCUAUUGUAUUCAAAAGAAACUAUCUUGCGUAAUUUUUUUUUUCUUAACAUUAGAAGUUGAUCUUGUCUUUGCUUUUGGUAACUUGAGUUUGGAGAAAGCAUUUGAAUUGAUCAGCUUCAACACAAAGACAAGUUUGUUACACUCGCAUUUAGGUUGGAUAAGCAAUCUGCUAGCUAUUGUCCUUAUCCUUGCAAUCAAUUAUUUUUGUUCAUGUAACAGUGGGAUCUUACUUGCAAUAGAUUUCUUAAGCGAUGAACCUGAUGGUGUGCAUGAAUCACAAGCCCUCUCAUUGGCUCAUAUCAAAACUCUAGCAGCCAACUCCAUGUACUGAAUCUGUCAAACCAUUCUGCUCAUGCACGAAACAAGAGAUUGUAGAACAGGAGAUCUCUCUUAAGAAAGCUGGAUACCACAAUCUCGGACAUAGUUUCAGAUUGUUUUUGCAACGUCGUACAUGUUAAAAUCUAGAUUAUUUGUUAACCCAAACUAUUGAUCUGUAUUUUACUAUCAAGUGGUUCAAAACAGUCUUUGUUCUUUCCUUGUUAUGCUUUUGUGAGAAAGCACUGAUCUUCGAUGAUUAGCUUAAUAAUCUUUUGGUUUAGCUUAAUGUAAGAUGAACUUUUGAUUGUUAUAAUUUAGGGAGAUGCAAGGGAGACGAUCCCUGAUUUCAUUACAGAGUGUGGAGCUUCACAUUUGGUUACUGACUUCUCUCUUUUACUGGAAAUUAGAAGCCGUAGGAACGAGGUUAUGAAGAGAACGAAUGAUUCACUAGAAAUACAUGAAUUUUGUACUUAUUUUGCUAAUAUAGAAUGAGGAACUACAAAUAGACGAAGAUGGCUGAAUGAAUAACCCAUUUUGUGUUUUUCUUUUCAUGGCAUAUGCAGAACAGGUUGUUAAAAUGGUUUUGUCUUCUUUUCAGGUUGCAGAACAGGUUGUUAAAAUGGUUUUCUUUGGAUUUAGUUACUGGUAAUCGUUAUGUGUGUGUUACGUGUUGUACUCGGAAUCUUGUAAACAAUAGUAAAUGUGUUUUAGCUGUGAGUUGUUUUACUCUUUUCUCAUGAUUUUCUCUCACAAGAGCCAUUCUAAGGACUCCGUGGCUCUCUAUUAUUACUUUGCAGCAUGUCUUCGAUACACCUCAAAAGAAAGCUUGUCCAUAUUUUUGAAUCCAUUAUUUCAAAAGUUAUGAUUAGGGUAAUACAGUUUUCAGGGUUGACAUGAAUGUACUUGUGUUACUAAGAAUACUUAUUCAGCUGCGGCCAUUUUCAGAGACUCUACGAGUGUCAUCAACUGAGAUAAUAUGAGAAUAUGUGUGUGAGUUAACAAGCAAGCUAUACACAUUUUUUUUUACAAAUCACAAUGAUGAAACAGCUAUUUAUGUGUCUAAUAAGUCAUCACAUCAAACAUGUUAUUUGACUAAGAUUUACAAAUAUAGUUGACACCACAAAUAGGGUUUAAACCCUAAACCCUUAAUCACAUAGGGUUCAAACCCUAAAGCCGAAAUCAAAUAAAUAGGAUUAUGAAUUUAAUGUUUAAUAAGUUAAAGUUAGUGUUUAACAAAUUAAAUUUAGUGUUUUAAAAAUUAGAAUUUAAUGUACUUGUUGAUUUAAAAAAUAUUGAUAAAGAAACACGAAAAUUUUGGAAAAUUAAGAUUUAGAAAAUAUUUUCUUAACAGAUUAGGAGAGAUUUAAGGAAUAUUAUGAUUACGAAUUUGGUAGAACUCAUAUUUUGUCGUCCGUAGACUGAAGAUAUACUGGUAGACUACGAAAUCCCGCUAAGGUGGAAUAUCAUAUUGAGGUAGAUAACACAAUCACAAUGUCGUUGAGUAUAAAUAUAUAUGCAGAUUUUAUGUUUCAGUGUUAGUAGAUAUAAUAGUAAAACGUAGUUCAUCAAAUCUACCGUAGUUCAGAUCAUAGGGAAAACGGCAGUUAAUUCAAUCUGCGGUGGUAGACCAAUGACCAUUAAGUUGAUAUUACGUUCUAAGAGCUGCAGAUACUUAUUUAGUUAACUGAAACUACAAUCUACAUGCUCGUAGACACUAGAUUUUGUUUUCUGCUUUUCGUAGAUCAAAAAAUGAAAUUGUGUUCUCCUAAUAUUUAGUCAACCAAAAUAUUUUUCAUAUAAUUAUUUAUUUUUUAUAUACAUUUGGAAUAAUUUUCCAUAUUUUUCUGACUUUUAAAAUAAUUGAUAUGAAUUUUUAAAGUUAGCCAGGGGUAUCUAAGUCCAAAACGGGCCAAAAAGAGAUUUAUGGCAAAAUGACAAUGUAGCUGUUUUUCUGUUCUGUUUUGGCAAUUUUUUCUAGUUUUUUUUGGUCGAAUGAAUAGUGAAUAGUGUUAGCUGGUGUUAUUGGAUUGUGGAUUUAAAAUUACUUCUUUAGAUUUUAAAUUCUAGUGUUAUUCAAGGAUUGAUUUUAAAUUUUUAUUUUUAAAUCUAGUGUUAUUGGUUAUUGUAUUCAAAAUAUUUCUAUUAAGUGAUUAUAAAAUCUUGUGUUAUUAGUUAUUGUAUUCAAAAUCUUUCCAAUGAAUGAAAUUUUAAUUCCUUUGCUAUUCAAUCAAAUAUUUAAAUACACCAUUUCAAAUCUAGUGUUAUUCAUGUUUGAUAGAUUUGUACAAUUCAUUUGACUUGAAAUAGUUUGAAUGGAUUGGAAUCUACUUUUACGUAUAACACCUUUCAAUCAAAAUCUUCCAUUUUAACUUCAGAUUUAUAAAACCAAAACUCAUCAAACAAAAACUUCUAACGUCAAACUAGCUAAUAAACGUGUUCAAAACCAAAGCUGACUAAUGGACAAAAAAAACAAAAUAUAAUAGAAGGAACAUCAUCCAUAAUAAAUCCUAAUAAAAGUUUUUUGUUUUUCAUCGAACAAGAUAGAUAGCAAAUAUAAAAAUUAAUUGUUCUUUCAUCAAGCCUAUCUUCCAACAGAAAAUAGCUUUCAUUCUUGGACCCAACCCAGAUUUUCUUUGUAUCAAAUUCAUCAAGUUAAAAUUUUCCAAACAUAAACUCCUCUUUUGAUAAUUAUAUGUGCUUUUUAAUUUUUAACUUGAUGAUUUUUUUUUGAUGAAAUUAACUUGUGGAUUCACAUGGAAUAACAUCAUUUCCUUUUUACUGUCAUAAUAAUUAUAUACAAUACUAUUUUCAUUGUCUAUUAGUAAUCUUAUGAUAAAAUAGUUUGUGUUUAAAAGUAUUUGCGUUUCAGUUUAUAUUUGUGUAAAAGUUAAUUUAAAAUCUGAAAUUGAAUUUCAAAUUAGAAUACUCUCAGAUGGAGUUCAAUUCUAUUAUAGAAAUCAAAUGAUAUCAUGUUGAUUUUAUAAAUAAAAUGAUAAGGAUUUUAAAACAUCUAUCAAAAAUUGUAAAUCUUAUCUAUUUUACUGUGAAAAUGUUUUUUCCUGUUUAUUUUUGUCGACUUGUUUGCUUGUAGUAUACCAGAUUACCAGCCUUGUUCAACAUUCCUUUGUUAUAGUAGGUAGCAUGUUUACAAUAAUAUAUUCAUUAUAUAAACAAAUUGGUCAAUAUGUCCGAGUGGUUAAGGAGACAGACUUGAAAUCUGUUGGGCUUCGCCCGCGCAGGUUCGAACCCUGCUGUUGACGUUGUUUUUUGUUUUCUUUAAGUUUUCUUCAUAUGACAUAAACAUCAUCACCUAAGAAGAUUAUCGUAAACUUCACUAAGAAAGUGUAAACAUUUUAAGAAGUGGUUGUAAGAAUGUGGCUGGCUCCAAAUUUUAAGCAAAAAAAAAAAAUGUGGCUGGCUCAUCUUUGAUUGUUUGCCAUAAGAGCAAGUUGGAGAGAUGGGGGCUUCAUAUUAGCUCCCCAUGUUGCCUCUGCAACACUUUCAUAUAGGACAGA